UUUAAGUACAACUUUCCGUACCCAACUUUAAUCAUCCAUCUUAAUUAAAAAAAAUUUAUAAUUAGUAUUUUUAUUAUUAUGAGAUAAUAAAAUAUGAAUAGUACUUUAUAUGUGACUUAUGUUUUUCUAAAAUUUUUUUAAAAAAUUUAAAUAAGAUAUACGGUUAAAGUUAUACACGAAAAAUAAAUAUGGAUGAACUUAAA
rfam:Oryza glaberrima chromosome 6 Oglab06_0233_7, whole genome shotgun sequence.